ACCGCGAGAUCACGACCUGAGCCACAACCAAGAGUCGGAUGUUUAACUGCUGACCCAGGUGUCCCACUAACUACGUCCCCUGCUGACAUCAUCUGCAUUUAAUUACUACCUUUUAUGGUGUCUGUUUACAUAUAAAUCGUAUUACACGUCUCGUUUUAGCUGUUAAGGAUUGCCUUGCACUUAAGACUUUCUAAAUAACGUUACGCGUGGUCGUUUACUGAGCCAUUAGUGAUUUAUUUCUUCCUUUCUCCCAUUUUUUCCUGUAUGUUUUGCCUGCUACCAUGUAUCGAAGGGUGGUUUUGGAUCAGAAGCUCUAGUCGAGGCUGGAUAUUUCAACAUGAAUGUGUUCUGUUCCUUCCUGGCUCUUCUGAGCUCAGGACGCAGUCACGUUUCCCCUUUCCAGUCCUUGGACGCUGUUGGCGUCCAGUUCUGCUUAAAUGCACUAAUAUUAAAAAUAUGAAUCCGUUACAAACAUCCAUUAAUCCACUAAAAUCCAUUAAUAUUAUAAACCAAAGGAUACUGAGGUACAGAUAUAAAAACAUGUAAGAACACAAACUCAUCACGUAAUGGCGAACAUUUAAGUGGCCUCCUGGGGGGUUUAGUGACACCUACGAUUGGCCCCUGUGAGGAUCUAAGCUUUACUUUGAGCCAGCUUCAACACGUGAACCCUGUUAUGAAGUGUAUCUGGUUUCUGGCGGUGGCCAGGUCAUAGACCCUGCCCAGACUCCUGUGACUUGUCCACAUUCUUAGGGGUCGGCCACCAUGAUAUGGGUGAUUGCUGAUGUUGAAACUCACGGUCCUCAGUUCCAUGGAGGAUGUCUGGGGUGGGGGCUCUUGACCCACAUGGGGAACCCAGGUCCAGCCAGCGUGGCCUUCUGUUUUCUUUGGCCCACGUGGGUAUACGCAGUGAUUCCUUCCGUCCCGUAACCAAAUAGACUCACACUCCUAAAUGUGAAUCUUUUCUUACGCUUUUGCAAAACAUGACUCCGCAGUUUAAAAUAUUUUGUGUGUGUGUGUCACAUGGCCCUUCCCACAUUUCACUUUUUGAAAACCUAUGGUUUCUUACAGUGAUUCCUCCUCACGGACCCACGUAGGCAUCUCCCUGUCAUGAACAAUCGGGUCUGUUGAACGGAACACAUUUCUCAGGCUUUGGGACGGGUGGAUACUUCUUGGUCUACCUCACCGUUUUCUUUUCCUCGUCAGAGUGUUGUUUUUCCUUCAGGGAUGCAUCCAAGUGCCCGUUGUCUGCAUAGAUGGGGAAAUGUUUGAACAGUUUUUGACAAGUCCUUGCAUGGGCUGUCUUUACCAAUGUCUGCAUCUUCCCUCGCAGAUGGAGAGGGGUGUUUGCAGAUGUGGGGGUCUUACAGGAGAGAGGGCCUGUCUGAGUGUGCAUUUCUAGACGUCUUCUUCACUUUUAGCACCUCUGUGAUGUGUUUAUGUCUCCCUGGGACCUGAGCACAUCAGGGGACAGGGCGUGUGAGCAGACAGACUGGGUCCUCUAGGAGACUCCUGCUGUAUCUGGGAUUUCUGCCGCCAUGUGGAAUGACUUGAUCAAAGUGACAUCAGCUCUUGAACACAAGGAGAAAUAGGUGCCCUCUGAGGGCCUGCUGAAUUAGGCUAGUGGCAGAGAGGAAGCUGGUGGAGCAGGACAGGGAGGGAACGUCUGGUCUGAGAAAAGACAGAGGCUGUCAUCCAGCCCUCGUUAUCUCUGCCCCUGUGACUUCUCCAGUGCACUUGUCUGUUUCAUCUCCUUAAUUCCUUAUGAAACUGGGCAAUGUUGCAAUGCGAGCAAAAAUCAUUCCAUUCCUGUGCUGUUUGCUGCAGUGUGGUGGUUUAGGUCAUGAUGACAUCUAGUUGAUUAGGAGAUCAUGAGGUCUAGUUGGGUUGGGUCAUGAUGAAGUCUAGUCGGGUUAAGUGAUGAUGAGGUCUAGUUGACUUAUAUCAUGAUGAGGUCUGCUUGGGUUAUAUCAUGAUGAGGUUUAGUUGACUUAUAUCAUGAUGAAGUCUAGAUGGGUUAUGUCAUGAUGAGGUCUAGUUGGUUAGGUGAUGAUGAGGUCUAGUUGACUUAUAUCAUGAUGAGGCUUAGUUGACUUAUAUCAUGAUGAAGUCUAGAUGGGUUAUAUCAUGAUGAGGUCUAGUUGGUUAGGUGAUGAUGAGGUCUAGUUGACUUAUAUCAUGAUGAGGUCUGGUUGGGUUAUAUCAUGUUGAGGUCUAGUUGACUUAUAUCAUGAUGAAGUCUAGAUGGGUUACGUCAUGAUGAGGUCUAGUUGGGUUGGGUGAUGAUGAGGUCUAGUUGGGUUAGGUGGUGAUGAGGUCUAGUUGACUUAUAUCAUGAUGAGGUCUGGUGGGUUGGGUGAUGAUGAGGUCUAGUUGACUUACAUCAUGAUGAGGUCUGCUUGGGUUAUAUCAUGAUGAGGUCUAGUUGGUUAGGUGAUGAUGAGGUCUAGUUGACUUAUAUCAUGAUGAGGUCUGGUUGGGUUAUAUCAUGAUGAGGUCUAGUUGACUUAUAUCAUGAUGAAGUCUAGAUGGGUUAUGUCAUG